CCGGCGGCCGGGAGGGAGUUGUCAACGCUGAGGCCGCUGCGGACGGAUGCCCGCCUGCCGGGUGAGGAGAAACAACAAAUACUGGUAACAGAGUGAUUUGGUAUGCUGUUUGCAAGAAUGCAUCUUAACAGAAAUACAGAGGAAAAGAAUAAAGACGAGAAAAUGGCGUUGGCAGUCCCAAGAAAUGUUUUGAAGGUGAAAGCUGAAUUUGCAAAAAUAUACAGCAUACACUUAGACAGGUAUCCAUUAUGAUGUUGACAAUGAAAGCCUUAUUUCCAACAGAUAUACUCACAUGAGAAGACCCACUUCAAGCACUUUUAAGUAUCUUUCUGUUUGUUGAACCAGCAUGGCAGGGU
rnacentral:lncRNA from 1 species